GCGGGUGUAGCUCAAUGGUAGAGUUCUGGCCUUCCAAGCCAGCUGUGAGGGUUCGAUUCCCUUCACCCGCUCCA
rnacentral:tRNA from 6 species